ensembl:lncRNA
CAAUGACAACCCAGCAGUAUCUGUGUUGAUUUUGCUUCUUUCCCUGUCAUUAGGAUUGCCCUUGGACGGCAUUCUCACUGCCGUGGGUGACCAUGUCACAGCAAAUCACACCGUUACUAUAGCCUUACAGAGUGGCAGUGAAAGGAUUACUGCUGUGUUUGAAGGUCAGAGUCUGUCUGUAGAGCCUCCUAAAUCCCAGCUAUCUGUGAGUUUACAGCACAACAUCUCAAAGAUAAAGAAACUUGGGAUUCCCUUUAUUGUGGAAGCUGCUGGCUAUUACCAGAAUUUCAGCAAAGGGAUUGCUGCAGGGCUAACAACCAUGGUGGAGAAGGAACAGUUCAAAGUCAAAAUAGAGAAGAAAACCACUGUUGGUGCUAUGGAAAUUUCCCUUUCACUUCAUCAUGAUGUGGGAGUACUGAUAAACAUUGUCCCACAGGCCAUACAGGUUACUUGCAGUGGAGAAUCCAUCUACAAACAACUUUCUGGCCUUUGCAAUGGAGACAUUGCAAGUCAUCAUUCUGAGACUCCAGCAAAAGUUUCACUGAAUGGGUCGAUGUUUACCAGCAACUCUACUGUCAGCUUCUUUGGACACAUUUCUUUUAAUGAGAUGUUUGCCUGUCUGCAACUCUAUGCCACCUUCAACAUCCAGCCUCAUUUGGAGCUUGACUUCAAGCAUUCCUUGCCUCAGCUUCAGUCUCUGGGUGUUGCCAAAGAGAACCAAGUGAAGGUGUCAGCCAUGAGAAGUGACAAGUAUAAAGGCGUGCUUGAGAUUGUCCUUGGGCACUGCAGUUUAAAAGCUGAUGGAGAAGUGAACCUGGCAAGCAAUGAAACAGAUACAGAAUGGAUACUUACUGUUAGAAACAAGUGUGUCAGUCUAGAGAUGGUGGGACUGCCUCAUGCAGUAGCCUUUGAGGGCUCUUUCAAACAGAACAUCUGCAACAUUGGCUUAUUGAUGAACCUCCAGUGUGAUGGCAAAACAGCAGAUAUGCAGAUAGACACUUCCUGCAAGCAUGAAUACACACUCCAAGGGAUGCUAAGGCAUUCAGUUCCCUGGCUCAGGGAGCUUGGGUUGCCUUUUGAAAAUUCUGUCCUGUUCUCUGCAGCCACAGAUGUCACCACUGAAGGCAUUUUGUUGCUGCAGGCUGGCAGAUGCAACCUUAAGGCUAGAGGAGGUCUCUGUAUUCAGAAUAAAGCUGAAUGGACACUGGAAACAGAAACAGAGUGUCAGCUUCUGCAGGAUCUUGGUAUUCCAGCUCAGUCACGGCUCACAGGAUAUAUUCAGAAAGACAGCUGCCAAGCAGGACUUCUCUGCAUCCUUGAAACAGAUGGCAAGGUUGCCCGUCUUGAAGUAAGAACAGAGUGCAAGCCAAAGAUGACCCUGGAAGUUCAAUUCAGACAUGAGUUCCUUCAACUGAAAGAAAUUCCAAGGGAAAACAAGCUGUCUGUCACGGCACAAAAGGAGUUAAAAUAUCAUAUUGACAUAGGAUUGAAUUCAGGUGCUUGUGAGCUUCAAAUGAAUGGGGAUUUCUACUCUGAAAAGAAGCUUCAGUGGAAAAUGUUUAUAGAAAACAAAUGCCAA